CAGCUUCAAGCCUUCCAGCUGACUUCGGUCCUCUCGAACCAAAUUACUGUUUUUGUCAAGAUCAUCGUCUGAAACAGUUCUUGAUCUUAAUCAUGGAUGAUUUUGUUUGUGGCAAACUAAGUCAGUGGGGUCUAAGUGAGUGGAUAGAAAGAUUCAAAGAAGAAGGCAUUACCAAGGAAAGUUUUUAUUGUCUUGAGGAUCGACACAUUGAUUCUUUAAUCCCAAAAGUGGGACCAAAUGCAAUAUUUCAGAAGAAAUUAAACCUAUUAAAGCAGGAAGAACAAAACACAAAUGAGGGCACUAAGGAUUUUUCUGUUCCA